ACAGUGGAAUCUGGAGCUCACUCAGUUGUUAGCAGCUGUAACAGUCCUGUAGCACUAUCACGGGAAUACAAACUAGUGGUGCUGGGUGGAGUUGGGAAGAGUGCCAUGACAAUACAGUUUAUCAGACAACAAUUCCCAGAAUAUCAUGACCCCAACAUUGAAAUUGCUUAUAAGAUUCAGAUCUACAUUGAUGAUGGAUGAGCCUGCCAAUCUGGACAUAGUGGACACAGCGGGGCAGAGUUUACAGCUAUGUGGGAUCAGUAUAAGAGGGAAGGAGAAUGACUUAUCAUCUGUUACUCCAUCACUAGUCAUUGAAGUUUCCAUGAAGUUUGGGAGUUUAAACAACUGAUUCACUGAGUCUGACGCACUGAUGAUAUACUGGUGGUUGUUGUGGGAAACAAGUCCGACCUGAAACAGCUGGGAAAGGUCUCCAAGGAAGAGGGAUUGUCUUGAGAAUUCAGUUGUGCUUUUUUUGAGACCUCUGCUGCAUAUUGCUGUUACAUUGAUGACAUUUUCCAUGUUCCUGUAUGAAAGAUAUGUAAGAAAGGAAAGGAGUUAAUACUAGCCAUGAGGAAAAAGUCUAAACCAAAACGCAGUGUAUGGAAGAGGCUGACAUCACCGUUCAGGAGGAAGAAAGACUCAGUAACCCGAGGGAAGAGUGAGGUGUCUGCUGUGAACUGCAGUGCUCCUCCAAGCAGUCAGUAA